UACGGGGGAGCAAGCGUUGUUCGGAUUUACUGGCGUAAAGGGCGCGUAGGCGGCGCAACAAGUCACUUGUGAAAUCUCCGGGCUUAACCCGGAGCGGUCAAGUGAUACUGUCGUGCUAGAGUGCGGAAGGGCUACUGGAAUUCUCGGUGUAGCGGUGAAAUGCGUAGAUUAUCGAAGAGGGAACACCCUGCGGCGAAGGCGGGUAGCUGGGCCGACACUGACGCUGGAUGCGCGAAAGCCAGGGAGCGAACGGG
rnacentral:rRNA from 1 species